AACGAACGCUGGCGGCAUGCCUAACACAUGCAAGUCGAACGAAGCCUUCGGGCUUAGUGGCGCACGGGUGCGUAACGCGUGGGAAUCUGCCCUUGGGUUCGGAAUAACAGGUAGAAAUGACUGCUAAUACCGGAUGAUGUCUUCGGACCAAAGAUUUAUCGCCCAAGGAUGAGCCCGCGUCGGAUUAGCUAGUUGGUGAGGUAAAGGCUCACCAAGGCGACGAUCCGUAGCUGGUCUGAGAGGAUGAGCAGCCACACUGGGACUGAGACACGGCCCAGACUCCUACGGGAGGCAGCAGUGGGGAAUAUUGGACAAUGGGCGAAAGCCUGAUCCAGCAAUGCCGCGUGAGUGAUGAAGGCCUUAGGGUUGUAAAGCUCUUUUACCCGGGAUGAUAAUGACAGUACCGGGAGAAUAAGCCCCGGCUAACUCCGUGCCAGCCGCCGCCGUAAUAC
rnacentral:rRNA from 1 species